AACCAGACCCAUAGGGAUCAAUGGGGAGCCCCAGCCCCAUAGCCAGCCCCAUUGGGAUCAAUGGGGAGUCCCAGCCCCACAGCCAGCCCCAUAGGGAUCAAUGGGAGCCCCAGCCCCACAACCAGCCCCAUAGGGAUCUAUGGGGAGCCCCAGCCCCACAGCCAGCCCCAUAGGGAUCAAUGGGGAGCCCCAGCCUCACAGCCAGCCCCAUAGGGAUCAAUGGGGAGCCCCAGCCUCACAGCCAGCCCCAUAGGGAUCAAUGGGGAGCCCCAGCCCCACAACCAGCCCCAUAGGGAUCAAUGGGGAGCCCCAGCCCCACAACCAGGCCCAUAGGGAUCAAUGGGGAGGCCCAGCCCCACAGCCAGCCCCAUAGGGAUCAAUGGGGAGCCCCAGCCCCACAGCCAGCCCCAUAGGGAUCUAUGGGGAGCCCCAGCCCCACAGCCAGCCCCAUAGGGAUCAAUGGGAGCCCCAGCCCCACAUCGCUCUCCUGCCCCAUAGAGCAUCCCAUAGACGAGCCCCACCGCCCCCCAUCCCCCUCCCUAUGGGGCAGCGAGUCUAUGGGGUCUCUAUGGGCCGAAUCCCCACUGAGAGCUAUGGGGGCUGUGGAGCUGAGGGCCCCUAUGGGGCUCUAUGGGGUUCUAUGGGGCACUAUGGGGUUCUAUGGGGCACUAUGGGGCACUAUGGGGCUCUAUGGAGCUCUAUGGGGUUCUAUGGAGCUCUAUGGGGCUCUAUGGAGCUCUAUGGGGUUCUAUGGGGCUCUAUGGGGCUCUAUGGAGCUCUAUGAAGCUCUAUGGGAUUCUAUGGGGUUCUAUGGAGCUCGAUGGGGUUCUAUGGGGCUCUAAGGGGCUCUAUGGGGUUCUAUGGAGCUCUAUGGGGUUCUAUGGGGCUCUAUGGAGCUCUAUGGGGUUCUAUGGGGCGCUAUGGGGUUCUAUGGGGUGCUAUGGGGUUCUAUGGGGCACUAUGGGGCGCCGUGCAUCUCUAUGGGGCCGGCCCACAACUCCUCACCUCUCCGCACGGCGUUGGAGGACUCCGGAGCACAGAGACGAGCGGGACAGAGCGACGCCGGAAAGGGCGGAGUCACGUAGGGGGGAUAGCGCAAGGAGGAGGAGCCGAAACAGGAAACGCGAGACCAGAGCGGCGCCAAUGAUCAUAGAGAUGGAGGGACAGAGCGCCGCACCCGGUCCUCCACGGCGCUCCAUUGGGCGGAAAACCCAUAUGGGACCCCAUAGAGAGACCCCAUAGAGAAACAUAGGGACACAUAGGGACACAUAGGGACCCAUAGAGACACAUAGGGACCCAUAGAGACAUAUAGGGACGCAUACAGACACAUAGGGACCCAUAGAGACCCAUAGAGACCCAUAGAGACCCUUAGAGACUCAUAGAGACACAUAGGGACCCAUAGGGACCCAUAGGGACCCAUAGAGACACAUAGGGACCCAUAGAGACACAUAGGGACCCAUAGAGACCCAUAGGGACCCAUAGGGACACAUAGGGACCCAUAGAGACACAUAGGGACCCAUAGGGACCCCAUAGAGACCCAUGGAGACCCAUAGAGACCCCAAAGGGACCCAUAGAGUCCCAUAGGGACCCAUAGAGACACAUAGAGACUCAUAGGGACCCAUAGGGACCCAUAGAGACACAUAGGGACACAUAGGGACACAUAGAGACCCAUAGAGACCCAUAGAGACACAUAGGGACCCAUAGAGACCCAUAGAGACCCAUAGAGACACAUAGAGGCCCAUAGGGACCCAUAGAGACCCAUAGAGACCCAUAGGGACCCAUAGGGACACAUAGAGACCCACAGGGACCCAUAGAGACCCAUAGAGACCCAUAGAGACACAUAGGGAACCAUAGGGACCCAUAGAGACCCAUAGGGAGCCAUAGAGACCCAUAGGGACCCAUAGAGACCCAUAGGGACCCAUAGGGACCCCAUAGGGACCCAUAGAGACCCAUAGGGACACAUAGGGACCCAUAGAGGCCCAUAGAGACCCAUAGGGACCCCAUAGGGACCCAUAGAGACACAUAGGGACCCAUAGGGGCCCAUAGGGACACAUAGAGACCCAUAGGGACCCAUAGAGACCCAUAGAGACACAUAGAGACGCAUAGAGACCCAUAGGGACCCAUAGAGACCCAUAGAGACACAUAGGGACCCCAUAGGGACCCAUAGAGACCCAUAGAGACACAUAGGGACCCAUAGAGACCCAUAGGGACACAUACAGACCCAUAGGGACCCAUAGGGACC
ensembl:lncRNA